GCCCCUGUGUGUACCUGUACCCCAAAACUACAUGGGGUGAGAACUAUAUAAAUAUAGUUCCCAGUGGGUUCGGCCGCCGACUCUGCCGGUUUUUUUACUAGGUCGAAGCUGGCAUAGAUAGAGAGAUAGAUAGAUAGAUAGAGAAAUAAACUGCAAUUACUCUAUCAUGCCACCAAUGAUAACGAUGCAUGCAACAACUACUAUCAUACUAGUAUCAUGUCAUGAGUAUAGAAAAGUACAUAGCAAUGCAAACUACAACAUACACUAUGUCUACUCAAGGUAAUAAUACAAGUCUACUAUGCAUUUCAUGUUUAUUAUCCAAUCUACUUGGCUAACCCG
rnacentral:lncRNA from 1 species